AUGAAGUCUUUGGAUGAGAAAAAAAUAGAAGGCAACCUUUCGGGACGAGACUCCGCCGCCAGGAGGCGGAACCUUGGCGGAACCAACCUAGGGCUCCGGCAAAGCUGUUCUGCCGGGGACACUUCCCUCCGGGAGGGGGAAAUCAUCACCAUCAUCAUCACCAACGCUCCUCUCAUCGGGAGAGGGCAAUCUCCAUCAACAUCUUCACCAGCACCAUCUCAUCUCCAAACCCUAGUUCAUCUCUUGUAUCCAAUUCUUGUCUCCAAGUCCAGGAUUGGUGCUAGUAGGUUGCUAGUAGUGUUGAUUACUCCUUGUAGUUGA
rnacentral:rRNA from 1 species